CAGGUAGUGCGAGGGUACUUGACCAAUUGCUUGUUCUUGCUGAGGACUCUGCACCUUGAGGAAGUGUCACUGAGACUGAGAUAGUUGAUAUCUCUGUUGCAUCAUCAACAUUCCAGAAGAAGCAGCUACUUGUUUCCUCUGGCAGCACCACCAGAAGUUCUCACCAAGUUAUUUCUGUGGUGUGACCUCCUUUUCUUUCAUACUGCCUGGAUUCUCAAGGUUCCUGCACAUGAUUUCAGCUGUCUCUGGCAGAGUCCUAUAUACCAUAGGAGGUCCUCAGUGAUCAUUCACUGACCUCUUCCUCCACUGUGAUUUGCCUGGAAAUCUCUUGAAGAGGAAGGAAAAAAUCCUUGAGAAAACGUGGCUGUCAGAGCUGCAAAAUCUUCUUUCAUCUUCUCAUGAAUAGAAGCAGUCACCAACCAGCCUGAGAAAACUCAUCCAGCUAGAAAAAGGAGGUAUCCUACUGGACAAAGAAGAGAAUUUGCUAGAUGUGGAAGCAGUUCAGACGAGGAAGGUCACCCCGGUCUUCCGCAGGCAGAUAUUUCCUGGUAUCCGUAUCCUUCUACCACAUGAAGAGCUCACAGGCUACACGGGACGGACAGAUGUAAAUAAAUAUAGAAAUGUGUUAAGAGCUACAGUGGAGGAGCAUGCAAUGGAUGAUUUCAAUGCUUGUCAAAGUAUCUUAAUGUCCCACUUUUAAAAAAUCCAAUAAUACUUUGGGCAUCAUCUGGGGCUUAGAAAAAGAACGUAAAAAGAAGGUAAAUUUGCUCUUUAUUAAAAUAUUCAGCUCGACAUACACUGUGACCAGGGAAAACAGUGCAGACUUUUUGCAUAUAGAACACCUCUAGUGUUCUUAUAAAGGGCUUCUGUGUGUGUGUCUGUGUGUGUUUCUAUAGUUACCCAUCCCAAAACUACAGGAACAAUUAGGAGGCAUAUUGGUACCUCACACCAUGAUGGAGAUGUUAAAGAAGAAUAUGGAUGACGUGGC
rnacentral:lncRNA from 1 species